rnacentral:lncRNA from 1 species
AUGCGCCCAGACCUGGGGUCCCAGCUGCGGCAGGGUGGUCGUUUCCUGGUCCGGGUUAAAAGGGUAAAGGGGAGCCUUCCGCGGGUGUUCACGGUUUUCAUACGCGGAGCUGGGACCUUGGGAGGCGGUUGGAGCGGCUGGGAGAACGCGCGCCCCGCGGGCUGCCAGUUUCCGGCGGAAGGUGCUGCGUUCUCCCCGCUCCGGGCCUUGGCCCGGGCAGGUGCCUCUGCGGACACCUCCUCCACCCCAGCCCUUGUCGCCUCCACAGCUGCUCGCCCCUUCCAGGUCUCAGCCGAAGCUCCUCCGCAAGCCUCCUGGCUCGUCCCGGAGCCGGGUGCCCCGUUUCUCUGCCGAUCUGGAAGAGGUCUGUUCCCGCUGCAGAACAGGUGUUCCGCGUGCCGCCGGCGGCGGAACGCGCUCGCAGACCGGGCCCUGCACUGGCUCGGCUGCCUGGAAAUUGAUGGUCUUUCUUGUUUUUCUGGUGGGAACUGGGAGUUUCCCAGCAGAAGGUAACACAGCCUGUGGACUCUUAUUUCCUGAGAAGCCCUGGAUUUCCCCCCACAUUAGUCACCGGAGAAUGUAUAUUAUUUUAGCUCUCGGACUCCAACUUGGGUUUAGAUCACCGGAGGCGGAGUGGGAAAUUGACGGCUUAGGAGGGGCAGCUCUCCUUUCCUCUUCUGGAGGCGAUGUGGGGCUCCCUGAAGGCCCGGACGAGCCUCUUCCAGGUCCCGGCCCGGGCGACUUGCCGAGAGGGGUGGCCAAACCCUCCAUCUCUUGCAGGCGGAUGGGGUGAUGUAGAGGGAGGGCCUCCAGACGGCCUGGCUUCAGAGGAGCUCACAAGGGGUGGCGGCUUAUGGCAGGACCACCGACGCUGUGCCAGGCCCUGGUGAUGCCCUGGGCUGGGGGUAGUAGGCCACCCAGCUGUGACGGGUAGGGGACACAGCCGUGUACAGGCUCAGAAGAAGUGACAGCACACUCUUCAUAGAAGGGGGGGAUCCCCCAGGGUGUGGGGAGUUUUCCAGAUGGGAACAGGGCAUCAGGGCCAGUGAGAGCAAAGGCCCGGAGGGCAGAAAGGGCAAGAGUCCUCAUGGGGCUGGAACUGAGCCCCGGCCUCUCGCUCCCCAGCCGCCUGCCGAGCCCUCUGAGUCUGGCCAAGGGGCUGGCUGGCCUCGGAGGGAGGCCCCGGGCAGCCGCCCCUUGGGCGGUGGUGCAGGCUGGGACAAGGCAGUGAGCUCGUGCGUCUCCCCUUAUCUGAGGGGCAAGGCCAGGAAGAUUGGCGGGAGGCAGGAGGCAGCAGAGGGGCUGGGGGCCAUCAGAAACGACCUCGCCGCUGCUGGAUGUCCACCAGCUGUGGGAGCCAGGAGCGUGGCCCUGCCCGGGCUCUCGCUGCAGCUGGGCCCCUCCGCUCCUCUGAGCCCACUUCCCGUGGAGGAGCCCCGAGAUGGCUGGGAAGAGAUGGCCAGAGCUCCAGCUUUCUUGGCAGCCUGUGCAGGUGGAGCCCUGGAGACUACCCGAGAUGGUUGGUAGCGGGCAGGCCGGUGAGGCUUGACAGGAGUUCAUGAGGGCCCUGGAGCCAGAGUGCCCCGUUCAAAUUCCACAGUCAUCUCCUAACUGUGCGUCCUUGCGCCAGCUUCCCUGUUUGCAGUGGCGGGGGGCAGGGGGGCGCGCUGUUCGUAGCAGGGCGUCUCCCGGAGAGGGGUCCCUGGCUUACAUGCGAGACGCAGAAAUGCGGGGCACACGUGAGCCCUGGGUUUAAACCACGAUGAUCUGAUGAUUUGGGGCCCCUCUUUUGCCUCAGGAGCUUCUCCGUUCACAGCCUCUCUUCUCUGUUUACCUCUUUCUUGUCCACUGCUGUCUCCUCUCACCCCGAACCCAAGAGCCUGCCCUGCUUAAACUUCCUUCCUCGAGGAGCCAGGGACAGCACUGAGCGUUCCCGCCACCUGGUCGCACGGAGGAGAAGUCAGGAGGAGGGGCCUAGCUGGCUGUUGGUGCCGGAUACACCUUCACGUCUGUCUUCUGAACUGCCACGCAGUUCUAAAUGCCAAGAUCGAAAGCCUCGUCCUCCAGGAAGUCCUCCCAGACUUCCUCAAGCAGCCAGGGGCUGCCUCCUCUUCUCCCCUGUAACGUGGGUGGGGAAGUGUUGACCCUUGAGGUUCUGGCCCAUUCGGGCCCCUGCCUUCUCUUCUUGUGGUUGGGACACAGGUGGCUCUACAGCUGUUCUGCCUGGUUAAAACCUGGCCGAAGGAGGGGCCAGAGCUCCAGCUUUCUUGGCAGCCUGUGCAGGUGGAGCCCUGGAGACUGCGUUCAAACAGCUACUUACACAUUAAGGGGAACAUGUGGGUGAAAGACCACGGAAACGGCAAUUGGAAGGGUUCCGCUCCGGGGCGUGGGUCUCCCGCCGCCUCCUGCCCGUUUUUCUGCACCGUAGCCCCGUGUCAGGCCAGUCCUUCCCCGAGAGCGGCUGCUUCCAAUGCCAGCAGUGCUUUCACUCCUGUUUCCAUGGCCAUUUUCCUUGUCACUCUGUCCCUCUUCUCCCUAGAAAAGACUUCAGGUACGAUUUAUUCUUUGCUGAGCAUGCGUGAUCUGCAGCCUAACUGGUUCACACCCUGUAACCCUGAUCUGUUCCCAGGUUGCUGGGGCUCUGUCUCUGUGUGAGCCAGCCUGCGGGAAGCCUCGUCUGGCAGAAGGUGACCCAGAGAAAGGAAUUCUAACGCUUCUCUCAGAGGUCAGCCGACUGUUUCUGUAACGGGGCACAGAGGGGGUGUCUGGGGGUCUGUGUCACCGGGACUGAAGCCUGCCGUAGCAAUGCUGAGGCAGCCAGAGACGACUCGUAAGCAAACGGGCGCGCGGGGCUCCCUCAGAGCCCUGUUCGCAGCGCAGGUGGGCCUCGGCCGCCCCCUGCUCUGUGUGGGCCCUUGGCAGUCCCUCACCUGGAUGCCAGCCCAUCCUCAGCUGCAGCCCGUGCCAUGAAAUAUGUCUGUCCCGCCGGUGCCUGACUCUGGGCAGAGUUUCUCAGGGGCAAGACCCCACACCCCGCGCUCAGCCCCAGCCUGCAGGCUCGUCUUGCGCCGUCUUCCCGCCUUUCUCCCAUUUCACAGGCACAUAAACUGAGGCUCCAGCAGCCUGCCUCUUGUUCAGAGCCAGGCCAUGCGUAAGCGAGGGGGCUGGAAUCCAAGCCGGGGCUGCACCGUGGUGACCCCCGCCCCCAUCCCAGCGCACCUCUGCCUGGGCGCCCGCCCCCUCCCCGUGGCCCCAACCCCUCUGUCCACCUCCACUUCCUGUGGCCACUCAGGGAAUUUGCAUCUGGGGCCAAAGCAUGAGCGUCAGUGACUCCCGAGGCCCCCGUUCACUCUGGGACCCCCAAUAUUGUCGUGCACAGGAUACCUUCCAGCCAGCAACAGCCGGGGCCGAGGAGUUCGGGCUGGGGGGAGGGGAUAAUGAGGGCCCGUGAGACCCAGUGGCAGGUGCUAGGUCCUCUGCAAAGUGGGAUGAGCCGAGUCCUAACUGCCUUGUGGCUGUCUUUGCCGUGCACAAGCCCUGUGCGCAGAAUGUCCUGGAAAGCCCCCUUCGCGGUGGCUCCAUUGCCCUGUCCUAGGGGACAGGGCUGAGGCCCAGAGACACUGAGUCACCAUCUCAUGUUGCAGAGCCGAGUUCCAGGCCGCCACACGCACUGCCUUUGGUCACUCUGCUGGGCUGGAUAGUGUCCCCCAAACUCACGUCCUACCCAGACGCAGGACCUUUGGAAAUAGGAUCAUUGCUGAUGUGAUUAGGCAAGACGAGGUCACACCGCAGUCCCUGGGCCCUAAUCCAGCAUGACUGGUGUCCUUAGAAGAGAAGAGACACAGAGACAGACACACGGAGGGAAGGCAGCCAAGGGACCGGGCAGGCAGGGGCCAGAGUGAUGGGUCCACAGGCCGAGGAAUGCCAGGGGCCUCUGGCAGCCAGAGAAAGGGGCAUGAGCAGGUCCUCCCUGGAGCCUCCAGCAGGAGCACGGCCCUGCCAGCGCCUUGACCGGGGACUUCCGGCCCCAGAGCUGUGACAGCAUAAAUUUCUCUUCAGCCCCGCGGUGUGUGGUGCUCGUGGUGGGACAACCCUAAGACAGAAAUGCAGUAACUCAGCCCCACUGCACGGAACCCAGCCCGCCCAGCCUCUGGUCCGCGGGCAGCUCAGCUCCAGGGGAAACCUCAAAGGCCCCGGCGGAGGCCGCGGAGACAGGCAGGGCCCGGAGGGCGGCUC